CCCAGACUCCUACGGGAGGCAGCAGUGGGGAAUAUUGCACAAUGGGGGAAACCCUGAUGCAGCGACGCCGCGUGAGUGAAGAAGUAUUUCGGUAUGUAAAGCUCUCUCAGCAGGGAAGAUAAUGACGGUACCUGACUAAGAAGCCCCGGCUAACUACGUGCCAGCAGCCGCGGUAAUACGUAGGGGGCAAGCGUUAUCCGGAUUUACUGGGUGUAAAGGGUGCGCAGGUGGCAGGGCAAGUCAGAUGUGAAAGCCCGGGGCUCAACCCCGGUAUUGCAUUUGAAACUGUCCGGCUAGAGUGCAGGAGAGGUAAGCGGAAUUCCUAGUGUAGCGGUGAAAUGCGUAGAUAUUAGGAGGAACACCAGUGGCGAAGGCGGCUUACUGGACUGUAACUGACACUGAGGCACGAAAGCGUGGGGAGCAAACAGGAUUAGAUACCCGAGUACU
rnacentral:rRNA from 1 species